GGAAAAGGGGGGGAGGAAAAAGAGGAAACCGUUGGUUGGGCGGCGGUCGAGGAGUGUGUCUGGCGGAGAAGGAGAGGAGCUCCCGCGAGGCGCCAGAGCCCAAGACGGGACGGCGCCCCCGUGCGUAGGCCCAGGUACUGCAGGCGGGACCCAGACACCGGGUCACGCACCGUGCUGCCCAGCGGACAUAUACGAUGGGCAGCUGAGUUCCUGAGAGCCCUUCCAACGUGGAGGAAGCGGACCGAGGCAAAGGAAGCAGAGCUUCGGAUGCUGGCGAUGGAGAAUGGACAUCCCACGAACCAUAUUAAUUCUCCUCAAUGAGGGUUAAGUCCAGUGAUGCUCACCGACCCUGAGGGACCCACCCCACUGCUCACCUGGCAUCAAUCCAUAUGUGGAACGGCAAAUUCCUGGGCUGUCGGGGUCCACUGUACACUGGAAGACAGACACAGUCACUGGACGGGAGACGGAGGACACAGAGCAGGACAGGCAGAAGCGGAACAGGAUUACUGGGGUGCAG